rnacentral:rRNA from 1 species
AGUGAACGCUGGCGGUAGGCCUAACACAUGCAAGUCGAACGGCAGCACAGUAAGAGCUUGCUCUUACGGGUGGCGAGUGGCGGACGGGUGAGGAAUACAUCGGAAUCUACUUUUUCGUGGGGGAUAACGUAGGUAAACUUACGCUAAUACCGCAUACGACCUACGGGUGAAAGCAGGGGAUCUUCGGACCUUGCGCGAUUGAAUGAGCCGAUGUCGGAUUAGCUAGUUGGCGGGGUAAAGGCCCACCAAGGCGACGAUCCGUAGCUGGUCUGAGAGGAUGGUCAGCCACACUGGAAGUGAGACACGGUCCAGAGGACUAAGGGAGGCAGCAGUGGGGAAUAGUGGACAAUGGGCGGAAGCCUGAUCCAGCCAGACCGCGUGGGUGAAGAAGGCCUUCGGGUUGUAAAGACCUUUUGUUGGGAAAGAAAAGCAGCAGGUUAAGACCCCGCUGUUCUGACGGUAACCAAAGAAGAAGCACCGGCUAACUUCGUG